GACGAACGCUGGCAGCGUGCUUAACACAUGCAAGUCGUACGGUAAGGCCCUUUCGGGGGUACACGAGUGGCGAACGGGUGAGUAACACGUGAGUAACCUGCCCACAACUUUGGGAUAACGCUAGGAAACUGGUGCUAAUACUGGAUAUGUGCUCCUGCUGCAUGGUGGGGGUUGGAAAGCUCCGGCGGUUGUGGAUGGACUCGCGGCCUAUCAGCUUGUUGGUGGGGUAGUGGCCUACCAAGGCGGCGACGGGUAGCCGGCCUGAGAGGGUGACCGGCCACAUUGGGACUGAGAUACGGCCCAGACUCCUACGGGAGGCAGCAGUGGGGAAUAUUGCACAAUGGGCGCAAGCCUGAUGCAGCAACGCCGCGUGCGGGAUGACGGCCUUCGGGUUGUAAACCGCUUUCAGCAGGGACGAAGCUUUUUGUGACGGUACCUGCAGAAGAAGCACCGGCUAACUACGUG
rnacentral:rRNA from 1 species